UGAGCAAUCUGCCCUUCUCUUCGGAAUAAGCGUUGGAAACGACGUCUAAUGCCGAAUAUGACCUCCUUUCGCAUGAUCGGAGGUGGAAAGUUCCGGCGGAGAAGGAUGAGCUCGCGGCCUAUCAGCUAGUUGGUGUGGGUAAUGGCCCACCAAGGCGACGACGGGUAGCCGGCCUGAGAGGGUGACCGGCCACACUGGGACUGAGACACGGCCCAGACUCCGUACGGGAGGNAG
rnacentral:rRNA from 1 species